AUUGAACGCUGGCGGCAGGCCUAACACAUGCAAGUCGAGCGAGCGGCGGACGGGUGAGUAAUGUAUGGGGAUCUGCCCGAUAGAGGGGGAUAACUACUGGAAACGGUGGCUAAUACCGCAUACUAUCGGAUGAACCCAUAUGGGAUUGGCUAGGAGGUGAGGUAAAGGCUCACCAAGCCGACGAUCUCUAGCUGGUCUGAGAGGAUGACCAGCCACAGUGGGACUGAGACACGGCCCAGACGCCUACGGGAGGCAGCAGUGGGGAAUAUUGCGCAAUGGGGGCAACCCUGACGCAGCCAUGCCGCGUGAAUGAAGAAGGCCUUCGGGUUGUAAAGUUCUUUCGGUAGCGAGGCGUUAACUACAGAAGAAGCACCGGCUAACUCCGUGCCAGCCGCCGCGGUAAUUC
rnacentral:rRNA from 1 species